UACAGAGGGGGCAAGCGUUAUUCGGAAUUAUUGGGCGUAAAGGGCGCGUAGGCGGCUUGGCAAGUGGAUGGUGAAAUCCCUCGGCUUAACCGAGGAACUGCCAUCCAAACUGCUUUGCUUGAGACCGGGAGAGGUGAGUGGAAUUCCCAGUGUAGCGGUGAAAUGCGUAGAUAUCUGGAGGAACACCGGUGGCGAAGGCGGCAUCCUGGACCGGUAUUGACGCUGAGGCGCGAAAGCCAGGGGAGCAAACGGG
rnacentral:rRNA from 1 species